rnacentral:piRNA from 1 species
UCCAGACCAAGGACGUAAGGGUGA